UCCAUAGUGCGGGUUUUGUGUCU
rnacentral:piRNA from 1 species